rnacentral:lncRNA from 1 species
AGGGUUCCAAAAUUGGGCUAAGGCACGGAACAGGUGCUUAUCCACCUUUACGUCGAGCAAGUAAGGUAGGUCUCCAUAGCUAGAAUAGAAGAGCUGCUUAAUCUCAUCAUUCCACCGGUCCCAAAUUUCCUUUAGUUCCUGUAGGUUAUUCUGAGCCAAACUAACACGAGUGAAGUCCCACAACUCUGACACAUAUCUUCCGGCCAAACUAUCACCUUUCUCAUGUUGUGUUGUCUCAGACCAAGUUUGGACAGCCGCAUUAUCUUCCACCUUAUCAAGAAACCCUUUUUCCAUGAUAAGCUUUC